UGCAAACUGCGAAUACCGGAGAAUGUUAUCACGGGAGACACACGGCGGGUGCUAACGUCCGUCGUGAAGAGGGAAACAACCCAGACCGCCAGCUAAGGUCCCAAAGUCAUGGUUAAGUGGGAAACGAUGUGGGAAGGCCCAGACAGCCAGGAUGUUGGCUUAGAAGCAGCCAUCAUUUAAAGAAAGCGUAAUAGCUCACUGGUCGAGUCGGCCUGCGCGGAAGAUGUAACGGGGCUAAACCAUGCACCGAAGCUGCGGCAGCGACACUAUGUGUUGUUGGGUAGGGGAGCGUUCUGUAAGCCUGUGAAGGUGGCCUGUGAGGGUUGCUGGAGGUAUCAGAAGUGCGAAUGCUGACAUAAGUAACGAUAAAGCGGGUGAAAAGCCCGCUCGCCGGAAGACCAAGGGUUCCUGUCCAACGUUAAUCGGGGCAGGGUGAGUCGACCCCUAAGGCGAGGCCGAAAGGCGUAGUCGAUGGGAAACAGGUUAAUAUUCCUGUACUUGGUGUUACUGCGAAGGGGGGACGGAGAAGGCUAUGUUGGCCGGGCGACGGUUGUCCCGGUUUAAGCGUGUAGGCUGGUUUUCCAGGCAAAUCCGGAAAACCAAGGCUGAGGCGU
rnacentral:rRNA from 1 species